CAACUGCAACUUUACGCUGGUGAACGGUGGUUACAUCACGCGCUACUGAUGGCGGCACACUGCAGUUUAAUUGGUAUAGCUACACUCACGAGAUUCCACAAUACACUGCCGCGAAUCCAUAUUGGGAAAAUGUCCGGUAUGCAAAAAGAUUCGGUAACAGCUCGACCGGAAGAGGCGGAACGAAGCGGAAAAAAUCAAAACACAGGGAUUUGAUGUAACAAUAAUAAGCCCAGUGCACGACGACGCGACGCAAAUAGCUGACAUUUUCCGGUGGGUGUGUUGUGGAUCUGUGGCCAUUGUCUCGUACUGCUCAUCGUUUCUCAUGCCGCAAAUAGCACCAGUUCAUGCGUAAAUUCGGGAUGGAAAAAUUUUACUGACGAUAAUAGAAUCAAAGCGGAACCACAAACGGCGCUUAUACAACGUAUAAAAUGGAGUUAUGUGACAAAAACAUACGCAACAAGUGGCCGUGGCCGUGAUUUAGUGAUUGUGGAGAGACGAAGCUGACACAUGGUGGAAAGGAAAGCCGUUUGCAUUACCCAUCAGAAUUACUGGUUAGCUGUGUAGGUGUCGGUCCAGUUGUGGCUGUGUGGGUGUCGGUCCAGUUGCAGUUGCUGGCCUGCACAGUGAAUUCGACGCUGGCCCCGCCGUCGAUGGAUGGAGUAGUGCGCAGAUGGCCAGCCCAAGGAAACUACAGCAAGUCAGUUAAAAAGACGAGUGAGGACAAGGAAAUGCAUGAGCGUUUGUAGGCAGUCCAUUUACCUCAAGGCAGCCUGCUUGUUCGCAGAAAUCGUACAUAGCUUUGUCGACCGUUUGAUACUCUGUGGUGUUGCCGGUAACCAGCACCGUCACGUCGUGAACAUCGUUCCAGGUGCAGCCGGCAUCCUUCAGGAUGGCGCGCGUGAAUUUCAUGAUCUUCAUGGAUUCGUUGUAGGUGCCGCGCGUGCCGAAGCUUUUUGGGUCGUUGAGGUCGUGGAAGGCGCGAAGUGAGCUCAAGUACAGGAUCGGACCGACACGGACGGCGUAUCUGACAAUAAGAGUGAAUAACAGCACAAUGAAGUUAUGCUUAUCAUGAAAAGCAGAAUAAAAGUAAUAAGAAAAAUAAUCGGAGAGGUUCGAUCUGCACGCAAAUUACGCUCGAUAUGUUAUACAAAGUAACUUUAUUUUCUUACACUGUCUGUGCCGGGUCCCGACAGUUUGAUAAGCGUACAUUUCUCAAUUGCUACUAUGGAAGGUGUAGAAGCGUUUUACUGACCAGGGCAGCGUCACCGGCCCCCCUCUCAGAAAAAUUUCAUUUUUUGCAGGGUUGCAGAGUAACACUAGGGUAUGCUUAAAAAAAUAGUUUCAUCUGCCAUGGUCAGUAGGGCGUGGCCAAACAGAAUUUAGAAGUUUAAAAUUUGCUAUGUUAUAGCCUAUGGCCAAUGCAUUGCUUCGUACUUUAAGCACAUUUACGAUUUAAUACAAACCACUUCACGUGGUAUCGUACGAGGCUUAUGUGCGCUAAAUGUUCUCGGCUUCCCGUUUCUGAAACGGGCUAGUAGAUGACAGUUAAUUAUUUUUAAGUUUAGAGAUGAUCUGUAGGUCCUCAUUACCUCGGUUUUCGUG